rnacentral:tRNA from 1 species
UGCCAUGUAGCUCAACGGUAGAGCGGCUCCCUGUUAAGGAGAUGGUUGGAGGUUCAAAUCCUCCCGUGGCAGC